rnacentral:rRNA from 1 species
GAACGAACUCUGGUAUUGAUUGGUGCUUGCAUCAUGAUUUACAUUUGAGUGAGUGGCGAACUGGUGAGUAACACGUGGGAAACCUGCCCAGAAGCGGGGGAUAACACCUGGAAACAGAUGCUAAUACCGCAUAACAACUUGGACCGCAUGGUCCGAGUUUGAAAGAUGGCUUCGGCUAUCACUUUUGGAUGGUCCCGCGGCGUAUUAGCUAGAUGGUGGGGUAACGGCUCACCAUGGCAAUGAUACGUAGCCGACCUGAGAGGGUAAUCGGCCACAUUGGGACUGAGACACGGCCCAAACUCAUACGGGAGGCAGCAGUAGGGAAUCUUCCACAAUGGACGAAAGUCUGAUGGAGCAACGCCGCGUGAGUGAAGAAGGGUUUCGGCUCGUAAAACUCUGUUGUUAAAGAAGAACAUAUCUGAGAGUAACUGUUCAGGUAUUGACGGUAUUUAACCAGAAAGCCACGGCUAACUACGUGCCAGCAGCCGCGGUAAUACGUAGGUGGCAAGCGUUGUCCGGAUUUAUUGGGCGUAAAGCGAGCGCAGGCGGUUUUUUAAGUCUGAUGUGAAAGCCUUCGGCUCAACCGAAGAAGUGCAUCGGAAACUGGGAAACUUGAGUGCAGAAGAGGACAGUGGAACUCCAUGUGUAGCGGUGAAAUGCGUAGAUAUAUGGAAGAACACCAGUGGCGAAGGCGGCUGUCUGGUCUGUAACUGACGCUGAGGCUCGAAAGUAUGGGUAGCAAACAGGAUUAGAUACCCUGGUAGUCCAUACCGUAAACGAUGAAUGCUAAGUGUUGGAGGGUUUCCGCCCUUCAGUGCUGCAGCUAACGCAUUAAGCAUUCCGCCUGGGGAGUACGGCCGCAAGGCUGAAACUCAAAGGAAUUGACGGGGGCCCGCACAAGCGGUGGAGCAUGUGGUUUAAUUCGAAGCUACGCGAAGAACCUUACCAGGUCUUGACAUACUAUGCAAAUCUAAGAGAUUAGACGUUCCCUUCGGGGACAUGGAUACAGGUGGUGCAUGGUUGUCGUCAGCUCGUGUCGUGAGAUGUUGGGUUAAGUCCCGCAACGAGCGCAACCCUUAUUAUCAGUUGCCAGCAUUAAGUUGGGCACUCUGGUGAGACUGCCGGUGACAAACCGGAGGAAGGUGGGGAUGACGUCAAAUCAUCAUGCCCCUUAUGACCUGGGCUACACACGUGCUACAAUGGAUGGUACAACGAGUUGCGAACUCGCGAGAGUAAGCUAAUCUCUUAAAGCCAUUCUCAGUUCGGAUUGUAGGCUGCAACUCGCCUACAUGAAGUCGGAAUCGCUAGUAAUCGCGGAUCAGCAUGCCGCGGUGAAUACGUUCCCGGGCCUUGUACACACCGCCCGUCACACCAUGAGAGUUUGUAACACCCAAAGUCGGUGGGGUAACCUUUUAGGAACCAGCC